rnacentral:miRNA from 1 species
GUGUGUGUGUGUGUGUGUGUGUGUGUGUGUGUGUGUGUGUGUGUGUGCCCACGCAUGCGCAUAGACAUGCAGCCCCCCUCUAGG